UAGGUGCUUGGUAAAUACCUUCAGCCAGAACGUCCUUCCAGAGAUGAGCCCUGAGCUAACAUCCACUGCCAAUCCCCCUUUUCUCGCUGAGGAAGACUGGCCCUAAGCUAACAUCCAUGCCCAUCCUCCUCUACUUUAUAUGUGGGAUGCCUACCAAAGCAUGGCUUGAUGAGUGGUGCAUAGGUCUGUGCCCGGGAUCCAAACCAGCAAACCCCAGGCCACUGAAGCGGAGCAAGCGAACUUAACCACUGCCCCACCAGGCCAGCCCCUUUAUAAGCUACUCUUGAAUGUGACAUCCAUCACUUCUCCCGAAUUGAAUUCAUCUGAAGCAAGACAGUAA
rnacentral:lncRNA from 1 species